AGAGUUUGAUCAUGGCUCAGGACGAACGCUGGCGGCGUGCCUAAUACAUGCAAGUCGAGCGAAUCGACGGGAGCUUGCUCCCUGAGAUUAGCGGCGGACGGGUGAGUAACACGUGGGCAACCUGCCUAUAAGACUGGGAUAACUUCGGGAAACCGGAGCUAAUACCGGAUACGUUCUUUUCUCGCAUGAGAGAAGAUGGAAAGACGGUUUACGCUGUCACUUAUAGAUGGGCCCGCGGCGCAUUAGCUAGUUGGUGAGGUAAUGGCUCACCAAGGCGACGAUGCGUAGCCGACCUGAGAGGGUGAUCGGCCACACUGGGACUGAGACACGGCCCAGACUCCUACGGGAGGCAGCAGUAGGGAGUCUUCCGCAAUGGACGAAAGUCUGACGGAGCAACGCCGCGUGAACGAAGAAGGCCUUCGGGUCGUAAAGUUCUGUUGUUAGGGAAGAACAAGUACCAGAGUAACUGCUGGUACCUUGACGGUACCUAACCAGAAAGCCACGGCUAACUACGUGCCAGCAGCCGCGGUAAUACGUAGGUGGCAAGCGUUGUCCGGAAUUAUUGGGCGUAAAGCGCGCGCAGGUGGUUCCUUAAGUCUGAUGUGAAAGCCCACGGCUCAACCGUGGAGGGUCAUUGGAAACU
rnacentral:rRNA from 1 species